rnacentral:hammerhead_ribozyme from 1 species
AGCCGAAACUCCCGAAGGGGAGUCGGGGUGGGAUGGCGCCCACCUCCUGAUGAUGGCAGCCAUAC